rnacentral:lncRNA from 1 species
AAGAUUUGGGAGAGGGAGAGGAUUAAUCCUGAUUUGAACUCUUCGAAUUUGAAGUGCUUAUGUACUAUGAUUUGAAUAUGGUUUAUCCCCAUCCAAAGUCAUGUUGAGGAUGGGUUCCCAAUGUGACAGUGUUGGGAGGUGGUACCCUUAAGAGGCAUUUGUGUCAUGGGGAAUCUCUCCUGAUGAGGGUAUGAAUGCAGUCUCUUUGGAGUGGGAGAGUUCUUGUGCUCAUGGGACUGGAUUAGUUACUGUGAGGAGGUUGGUUGUUAUAAAGUGAGUCUGCCUCUUGUGCUUGGUGUCUUUUGCGUGUACCUGUUUCCCCUUUUGUUUCUUUGCCAUGUUUUGAUGCCCUCAAAAGAAGUUGUCGGAUGUGACUGCCCAGUCUUGAACUUCCCAGCCCUCAAAACUAACAUAUCUUCCAGUAGCUUCCUGAGAAAGUGUAUAUGCAAAGCACACUUCUGAGAUCUUUCAGAUGGUUUUGCCACAUUGCC